rnacentral:rRNA from 1 species
ACGAACGCUGGCGGCGUGCCUAACACAUGCAAGUCGAGCGGGGUCCAUCCAGUGGCAACACUGGGGAAGACCUAGCGGCGAACGGGUGAGUAACACGUGAGAAACCUGCCCUGAACUCUGGGAUAACCCGAGGAAACUCNAGCUAAUACCGGAUGCCCCCACCGGGUCGCAUGGCCUGGUGAGGAAAGAUUUAUCGGUUCAGGAGGGUCUCGCGGCCUAUCAGCUAGUUGGCGGGGUAACGGCCCACCAAGGCAUCGACGGGUAGCUGGUCUGAGAGGACGAUCAGCCACACUGGGACUGAGACACGGCCCAGACUCCUACGGGAGGCAGCAGUGGGGAAUAUUGCGCAAUGGGCGAAAGCCUGACGCAGCAACGCCGCGUGCGGGAUGAAGGCCUUCGGGUUGUAAACCGCUUUCAGUGGGGACGAAAUCAGACGGUACCCACAGAAGAAGCCCCGGCCAACUACGUGCCNGCAGCCGCGGUAACACGUAGGGGGCGAGCGUUGUCCGGAUUUAUUGGGCGUAAAGAGCUCGUAGGCGGCUCGGUAAGUGAGGUGUGAAAACUCCNGGCUCAACCUGGAGACNCCNCCUCAUACUGCCGUGGCUAGAGUCCGGUAGGGGAGCAUGGAAUUCCUGGUGUAGCGGUGAAAUGCGCAGAUAUCNNGAGGAACACCNNUGGCGAANGCNGUGCUCUGGGCCGGAACUGACGCUGANGAGCGAAAGCGUGGGGAGCNAACNGGAUUAGAUACCCUGGUAGUC